rnacentral:rRNA from 1 species
GACGAACGCUGGCGGCGUGCCUAAUACAUGCAAGUUGAGCGCUGAAGGUUGGUACUUGUACCAACUGGAUGAGCAGCGAACGGGUGAGUAACGCGUGGGGAAUCUGCCUUUGAGCGGGGGACAACAUUUGGAAACGAAUGCUAAUACCGCAUAAAAACUUUAAACACAAGUUUUAAGUUUGAAAGAUGCAAUUGCAUCACUCAAAGAUGAUCCCGCGUUGUAUUAGCUAGUUGGUGAGGUAAAGGCUCACUAAGGCGAUGAUACAUAGCCGACCUGAGAGGGUGAUCGGCCACAGUGGGACUGAGACACGGCCCAAACUCCUACGGGAGGCAGCAGUAGGGAAUCUUCGGCAAUGGACGAAAGUCUGAACGAGCAACGCCGCGUGAGUGAAGAAGGUUUUCGGAUCGUAAAACUCUGUUGGUAGAGAAGAACGUUGGUGAGAGUGGAAAGCUCAUCAAGUGACGGUAACUACCCAGAAAGGGACGGCUAACUACGUG